rnacentral:rRNA from 1 species
UACAGAGGUCUCAAGCGUUGUUCGGAUUCAUUGGGCGUAAAGGGUGUGUAGGUGGCGCGCUAAGUCGGGUGUGAAAUUUCGGAGCUUAACUCCGAAACUGCAUUUGAUACUGGCGUGCUUGAGGACUGGAGAGGAGACUGGAAUUCAUGGUGUAGCAGUGAAAUGCGUAGAGAUCAUGAGGAAGACCAGUGGCGAAGGCGGGUCUCUGGACAGUUCCUGACACUGAGACACGAAGGCCAGGGGGAGCAAACGGG